rnacentral:rRNA from 1 species
GACGUAGGGCGCGAGCGUUGUCCGGAUUUAUUGGGCGUAAAGAGCUCGUAGGCGGCUUGUUGCGUCGACCGUGAAAACCCGGGGCUCAACUUCGGGCUUGCGGUCGAUACGGGCGGGCUAGAGUUCGGUAGGGGGAGACUGGAAUUCCUGGUGUAGCGGUGAAAUGCGCAGAUAUCAGGAGGAACACCGGUGGCGAAGGCGGGUCUCUGGGCCGAUACUGACGCUGAGGAGCGAAAGCGUGGGGGAGCGAACAGG